AAAUUGCUUACUGAGAGAGAGAGAGUAUUGAGGAGCACGCCUGACAGAGCCAUUCCGCAACCAAAUUGGCAAAUGCAGAACACUGAGAAAGAUGUGGCGAAAGCAGCACAAGUCCCAGCCACUGCCAUUAGCUGUGUUUCCGGGAGGAAUAUGGCUGCCACGCCGCUGAUGACAGGAGCUCCUCCGAAGAUCAUACCCGGCAGCCAAGGGCCGUUUUUGUCCAGGAGGUGCCACUGUGCAAUAACGUAGAGUCUGCAGCUCUGAUGCUUGCCGGUUUGGUGUAAAGGCACUGUGACUGUCAGGAUUUCUCCGGGCUAAGUUGGAGCUGAGAGAUGUUUGCGUGUGCACUGCAGUAGUGAGGAGGAAGCGGUGAUCCAAGUGUUUCUGGGAGGAAUAUGGCUGCCACGCCGCUGAUGAUGGGAGCUCCUCCGUAGAUCAUACCCGGCAGCCAAGGUAUGAAGUCACCACUUAGAAGCACCAUCGGGGCCACCAUUGCUCCGAUACGAGCCAUCAUGGAUACCCAGCCCAUUCCAUUCUGACUGAGGAUCACAAAAAAGGUGGAGCAUAUCCCAGCUUUGUGCAAGAGACUGGGUACAUCACGAACUGAUCACUAACCAAUCACGGUCAAACUGAAUUGCUUACUGAGAGAGAAAGUAUUGAGGGCCAGCCCUGACAGAGCCAUUCCGCAACCAAAUCGGCAAAGGCAGAACACUGGGAAGGAUGUGGAGAAAGCAGCACAGGUCCCAGCCACUGCCAUCAACAGAUGAAGAGAUUGUCCUCGCCCGCCUCCUCAGCCAUUUCCACAUUGGCUCCAUCCAUGGUUCCAAUGGUCAGAGCGCCGUUCAGCAUGAACUUCAUGUUGCCAGUGCCGGAGGCCUCAGUGCCAGCUGUGGAGAUCUGCUCGGACAGGUCAGAAGCUGGGAUGGCUGAAAGGUGAUAGAGGUUGUUAUUGAACAAAAUAUCUCAACUCACCUUAUCCCACGGAAGUUUCUCUUCAUCAACCAGAACCCUCAUCAACUCAGGAAUAGCCAUAGCUGGGCAGUUUGCUGAAAUCUGUGCGAGCAAUCUCCCUGGAGCCAAACUUGGAGACCUUGAAACGGCGAAUGAUGUCUUGCAGGGUGGCAGACACCACAAAGUAUUCCUGCUUCAGACGCAGCUCCUUGCCCUCGAAGAACUGGGAAAAGACACACGAUGUCAACCCAUCUGACACCAUCGGGGUGAUGCUCGGUCCUCCCGUAGAAGUGCACAGGGCGCAUGUACUCGGGACGUGCUUUCUCCCAGGCGUUGCCAUAGCGCAGCCAGUCAUCAGCCUCUUCAACCUUGAUAAUGACAUUGGGAGAGGAAAAACACUCAUUAGGGUGAAGUGGAGGUGCCUGUUGAAAUUCUGCUUCAGCUCGGUGACAUUAUCAACACCGGCCAGGCCUCGCACCGAGAUCUGCUUCCUCCUGUCAUGGUCAGACAAGGGUUUGGACAUGGCGGCUCAGGGUUUGCUA